UUUUACAAAUGAAGAAACUGAGGCCAUGCCUGCCCUGAAAAUGCCUGAUCUCAUGAAAGCUAAGCAGAUUCCAGGUAGUUAGUACUGGAAUAGGAGACUACUUGAAAAGACCAGAGAUUGUAUAGG
rnacentral:rRNA from 1 species